AGCCGCCCUGGCGGAGGACGGCACCGAGCCGACGGCGCUCCUCGACGCCAUGGGUGCGGCGCUGCGGUUCGACGUCGCGGACGACGA
rnacentral:tRNA from 1 species